UGCUUCUGCCUAUCCCUGAACCUC
rnacentral:piRNA from 1 species